rnacentral:rRNA from 1 species
GACGAACCGUGCGAACGUUGUUCGGAAUCACUGGGCUUAAAGGGCGCGUAGGCGGGCUGACAAGUCUGGGGUGAAAUACCGCGGCUCAACCGUGGAACUGCCUUAGAUACUGUCGGCCUCGGGGGAGGUAGGGGCGUGCGGAACUGUAGGUGGAGCGGUGAAAUGCGUUGAUAUCUACAGGAACUCCGGUGGCGAAAGCGGCGCGCUGGACCUCUUCUGACGCUGAGGCGCGAAAGCUAGGGGAGCAAACGGG